rnacentral:rRNA from 1 species
GAGACCCACGCCAACAGUUGCCAGCAUGUCCUCCGGGAUGGUGGGGACACUGUUGGGACCGCCUCUGCUAAAGAGGAGGAAGGAAUGGGCAACGGUAGGUCAGCAUGCCCCGAAUUAUCCGGGCUACACGCGGGCUACAAUGGGCAGGACAAUGGGUUUCGACACCGAAAGGUGAAGGCAAUCUCUUAAACCUGCUCGUAGUUCGGAUUGCGGGUUGCAACUCGCCCGCAUGAAGCUGGAAUCUGUAGUAAUCGCGUCUCAAAAUGGNNCGGUGAAUAUG